GCCUAGCCCCGAUUGUAAUGAAAAUCCCGCAAUGAAGCGGCGGAGCCGCGUAAUGAGGAAUUGUAAUGGAAAGCGGGAAACAGC
rnacentral:sRNA from 1 species